rnacentral:rRNA from 1 species
ACAAAGGGCAGCAAGUUCGCGAGGACAAGCAAAUCCCAUAAACCGUGGCUCAGUUCAGAUCGUAGGCUGCAACUCGCCUACGUGAAGGAGGAAUCGCUAGUAAUCGCAGGUCAGCAUACUGCGGUGAAUACGUUCCCGGGCCUUGUACACACCGCCCGUCACACCAUGGAAGUUGGCCACGCCCGAAGCCGUUACUCCAACCCUUGUGGAGGAGGACGUCGAAGGUGGGGCUGAUGACUGGGGUGAAGUCGUAACAAGGUAGCCGUACCGGAAGGUGCGGAUGGAUCACCUCCUAAC